AACGAACGCUGGCGGCAUGCCUAACACAUGCAAGUCGAACGGUAACAGCGGAGCUUGCUCCGGCUGACGAGUGGCGCACGGGUGAGUAACGCGUGGGAACCUGCCCUGGAGUGGGGAACAACCGCUGGAAACGGCGGCUAAUACCGCAUACGCCCUUAGGGGGAAAGCUUUAUGCGCUCUAGGAUGGGCCCGCGUCGGAUUAGCUUGUUGGUGAGGUAACGGCUCACCAAGGCUACGAUCCGUAGCUGGUCUGAGAGGAUGAUCAGCCACACUGGGACUGAGACACGGCCCAGACUCCUACGGGAGGCAGCAGUGGGGAAUAUUGGACAAUGGGGGCAACCCUGAUCCAGCAAUGCCGCGUGUGUGAAGAAGGCCUUCGGGUUGUAAAGCACUUUCACCCGUGAAGAUGAUGACGGUAGCGGGAGAAGAAGCCCCGGCUAACUCCGUG
rnacentral:rRNA from 1 species